ACAAUAUUAGUAUAAUAAGUAUAUUUACCUUCCAAGUAAAAGGUUUAGUAAUUAAAUAUUGUA
rnacentral:tRNA from 1 species